GGUCAAUUCAACAGAAAGGGGCUGACUCCCCCGCUGCCUACAUUCAAAGUAAUAUAAAAACUUGUAAUACAGAACCGCUCUUCUGGGGGCGAGAAGGAGGGCUGCGCUAAGCCCAGAGAGCCCCUGAACAGUCAGUCUGUCGGCUCACCUGGACCCGUCAUCAAGCCCACGCUGCUCACAAGGAAAUGAUUUUCGAGAGAAGGUCCACGUACAUCUGAUCUGCGGAUAUGCUUUAAACCUGACAGAAAAACAAAACUCUUCAUACUGGUCAAUCUCAUAGUCUUCACUCGAUUUGGAACCAUUUAUAAAUCCCUUUUCUGUUAAAAAAAAAAGUAUGUUUAUACAUUAGAUGGGAUUCAUAUGGACAUACAUUGAAAAGAUAAAAUACAUUUUUAUUCAUCAGUUUCACAUAAGAAAACUCCGAUGUGGCCAUGCCGCAGGUCAGAACUGACAGUUGACAAGAAAUUCAAGAGUCCUCUCCCUAGUUAUAAACCUGGGUUCGUCACCUUCUAUAGUCAAGAUUCCUCUAAGAAUUGGAUGUCAGUAAUUGAAUCCCUCCCCAAAUCAAUCUCCAUAUUUUAUGGACAAUUUCAAGAGAUCCAAGAGCUCCCCUAGCCUGGCAAGCCUGUCUAUUUCGGGGCAACUGACAGAAUUUGGAAGCCCUCUGCUGAGUCUUGAAGACUGCUUUCUUGGUGAGUGACGCGAAUUUGCAGUCCGUACCUCACAUUCCACACUAAAGCAACUGAAAGGAUGGAGAAAGACCUAGAAAGAGCAGCCCGCAUUACCUAUGAU